rnacentral:rRNA from 1 species
GUUGACCUCGGAUCAGGUAGGAAUACCCGCUGAACUUAAGCAUAUCAAUAAGCGGAGGAAAAGAAACCAACAGGGAUUGCCCCAGUAACGGCGAGUGAAGCGGCAACAGCUCAAAUUUGAAAUCUGGCCCCAGGCCCGAGUUGUAAUUUGCAGAGGAUGCUUUUGGCGCGGUGCCUUCCGAGUUCCCUGGAACGGGACGCCAUAGAGGGUGAGAGCCCCGUACGGUUGGACACCAAGUCUUUGUAAAGCUCCUUCGACGAGUCGAGUAGUUUGGGAAUGCUGCUCAAAAUGGGAGGUAUAUUUCUUCUAAAGCUAAAUAUUGGCCAGAGACCGAUAGCGCACAAGUAGAGUGAUCGAAAGAUGAAAAGCACUUUGAAAAGAGGGUUAAACAGCACGUGAAAUUGUUAAAAGGGAAGCGCUUAUGACCAGACUUGCGCCCGGUGAAUCACCCAGCUCUCGCGGCUGGGGCACUUUGCCGGCUCAGGCCAGCAUCAGCUCGCUGUCGGGGACAAAAGCUUCGGGAACGUAGCUCUCUUCGGGGAGUGUUAUAGCCCGUUGCACAAUACCCUUCGGCGGGCUGAGGUACGCGCUCCGCAAGGAUGCUGGCGUAAUGGUCAUCAGCGAC